UACGUAGGGGGCGAGCGUUGUCCGGAUUUAUUGGGCGUAAAGAGCUCGUAGGCGGCUUGGCAAGUCGGGUGUGAAACCUCCAGGCUCAACCUGGAGACGCCACUCGAGACUGCUAUGGCUAGAGUCCGGUAGGGGACCACGGAAUUCCUGGUGUAGCGGUGAAAUGCGCAGAUAUCAGGAGGAACACCGGUGGCGAAGGCGGUGGUCUGGGCCGGCACUGACGCUGAGGAGCGAAAGCGUGGGUAGCAAACAGG
rnacentral:rRNA from 1 species